AUUGAACGCUGGCGGCAGGCUUAACACAUGCAAGUCGAGCGAGCGGCGGACGGGUGAGUAAUGUCUGGGAAACUGCCUGAUGGAGGGGGAUAACUACUGGAAACGGUAGCUAAUACCGCAUACCAUCAGAUGUGCCCAGAUGGGAUUAGCUAGUAGGUGGGGUAAUGGCUCACCUCGGCGACGAUCCCUAGCUGGUCUGCGAGGAUGCCCCGCCAACCGGGAACUGAGACACGGUCCAGACUCCUGCGGGAGGCAGCAGUCGGGAAUAUCGCAAAAGGGGCGCAAGCCUGAUGCAGCCAUGCCGCGUGUGUGAAGAAGGCCUUCGGGUUGUAAAGCACUUUCAGCGAGGAGGCGUUCCUCGCAGAAGAAGCACCGGCUAACUCCGUGCCAGCAGCCGCGGUAAUUC
rnacentral:rRNA from 1 species